CACCACCUGAGCCUGGUUUUGGUAUUGACUGGUUGUGUGUGUGUGUGGUGGGCGUCUCUUUAUCUCUCUCUCUCUCUCUCUCUCUCUCUCAAGACGAGAAAGAGAGUUUUGUACAUUCAUAGUUCCUUGAAACUUCUGUAAUACUCCUCCCGAGAAGUGAAAGAGAGAGAGAAAGAGAAGGAGAAACCUUAGUAGUGCAUCUCUUUUUCUCUUUCACUGCCUCUCAUUAGAUUUUUGGAGAUCUGAAGUCGUUUUCUGUCUCUGAUUCUCAUGACGAAAACGACACAUCUUCUCUCCCCCACUGCUUAAUCAAAAGGGAACUUGAACUUAUCUUCCGUGAUUUCUGCAAGUUUCUUCUUUUAAUUCCUUUAUUUUCUUUAUCUAUCUCAUUCUUCUUAGAAAGAGCUCUCCAUCUUCUCUGUAUCCUUCUCACUAUGCCACUUUAGGUAAGCGAGAGGAAAGGAAAGGUAGGGCUUUGUGAUUUGUGAGUGCUCUGGAAGGUCAACGGCAUAGCAUCAUCAUCAUCAUCAUCAAUGGAGAAUUAGGGUUUGCUUUCCUUAAUAGUAUCAGACAUACUAUGGUUUAGAAAAUCCACUGCCUGGGGAAUAUAGCUAAUGGUGGGUUAGCACUGAUGCACUACUGCUCUCCAGAAAAUGUGACACUGUUCAUCAAGAAAAUGCUGCCAAGCUUUUGCUGUUUACUGUUUCAACAAGUGGGGUUUUGUCUUUUUGAGGAUCAUGGCCUUAUGGCUUUACUGUUUUGAACAUAUUAAUGUAAAAAAUAAAGGAAACAACUAGUGCUCCUGGGGAGAUUUGAAGACCUUGUGGAACAUCUACUCUGUGUUUCUCAAAGGAAGGGUGUAAGCUGAAGAUUUGAUCUGAAGGUGGUGGUGAGAUAGAGAACUCACUUCUCUUGAGCUUCUUAUUUAUUUAUUAUUAUAUUUCUGUCUCAACUGCUGGUGGUGGUGUUUCUCUUUAAAGGUCAUGGAUUUGCUGUUUUGUACUUUAUUAAUGUAAAAAAAAGGGUAUUUGAUGGGUGUUGCCUUUUCUUUUGGAACUAUACCAACUCUGUGUUUCUCUAUUGAAGGGUAAUCUGAAGAUGUGAUGUGAAAGUGGAGAACUCCUCACUUGAGAACUCA